GCUUGUCUCAAAGAUUAAGCCAUGCAUGUCUAAGUGUAAAUAAGUCUAUACUGUGAAACUGCGAAUGGCUCAUUAAAUCAGUUAUCGUUUAUUUGAUGAUCUCUUACUACUUGGAUAACCGUAGUAAUUCUAGAGCUAAUACAUGCACAAAAUCCCGACUUACGAAGGGAUGUAUUUAUUAGAUACAAACCAACAUCGUGGUGAUUCAUAAUAACUUUGCGAAUCGUAUGGCCUUGUGCCGGCGAUGGUUCAUUCAAGUUUCUGCCCUAUCAGCUUUCGAUGGUAGGGUAUUGGCCUACCAUGGCGUUAACGGGUAACGGAGAAUUAGGGUUCGAUUCCGGAGAGGGAGCCUGAGAAACGGCUACCACAUCCAAGGAAGGCAGCAGG
rnacentral:rRNA from 1 species